CGCCCCUCUGCAACAGAUGUUUCAGCCGUGUAAGACAAAGGCAGAGCGCCUGCUGCUGCCGGAGAAAAUCCGCAGGACUCCCUCAGGGGCAGUAGGAUGGGACAAGACCCAGCUGCCAAGAGGAGUCAGCUCCCCUGCGUCCUGCAAUGCGCAAGAUAGGGAUCAGCCUCCCAUUUUACGGAUGAGGAAACAGCCCCCAAGAGGGGAAGGAGAACCAAACCUGAAUUCCUGUACAGGCUGCGUCCUCCUCAGUGGGUACACAGCUUUGGGGGACGCAGCAGCCAGGACUGGCUCAAGCGCUAAGCUGUGUGGGGACCUGCUGCUGCCAGGGCCAGGUAUGACUGACCCUUGAACAACACAGUCUACUUAUAUGUGGAUGUUUUUCUCAGAAUCAAUGAAAAUUAGAUGUGAUUAGCAUACUCAGCAUCGGAAUAACUGAGCCAAGAUCCCAAGAUAGUUUUUUCAAAAGGUUACACCGAGUGUGCCUGCCUCUCCUGCCUCCCCCUCCACCACCCGAGACAGCAAGACCCUCCCUUUCUCCUGGCCCCAGUCUACUCAAUACAAAGACGGCGAGGAUGAAGACCUUCACGAUGAUCCGCUUUUACUUCAUGACUAGUAAAUAGAUUCGAUUGUCUCCUCCUUAGGAUUUUAAUAACAUUUUCUUUUCUUUAGUUUACUGUAUUGUAAGACUACAGUAAAUAAUACAUAUAACAUGCAAAA